CUAAAUGGAAGUGAGAGGUCUGGAACCGUUAAGGUGUCACUGAAUGUCUGAGUGACUACUUUGAUAUUGUGUUUUUCAGAUGCAGAGAGACAACUGGUGUACCAAAAGCUGCUGAUGGAGUUGCAGGUGGAGUGCCAUAGGGAGAUGGAGACCAAGCCUCACCAUGGCAGCCUGAGAUGAUGGAUGCUGCGCAGGAGAGCGGUCAAGGAAACAUACCAGGAGAUGGGUAUUGGUGGGGGCAGCCUCUGCUUUGUGUUAGUAUCUUAAGUACCUCUCUUCUUUUGCAGGUGCCACAUACAGCCUCAGAGGGGUUGAGCUUCAUGCUGAAAAAUGGUUUGAGAGGUGCUGUGCAGCCUGCCUUUGCAAUGGGAAGAGCAGUUGAGGUGCCCCAUGUGAUGAUGGCUGCAGCGUUGGGUGUUUGAAUUGGGACAGAACAGAUGAUGAUCAAGAGGAACCUAGCCGUGCGUGGUUGUCCCACUUAGCUGAUGCGGUUUGAGCUUUUUCUGGAAAAAAAAUGCGACGCAGGAGGACAACCUGUGUGCCGAAUGGUGAUUGCUAGGCCAGGAGAAUGCAAGCAUCAAAUGUAUGCAAGCAAGCCAGCCCUCGGUGCAUGCAAGCCCUUGAUAUGUCCAGGCAAGCCAGCCCUCGGUGCAAGGAACCCAGCAUUUGUGUGCAAGCUAGGCUUUGGUGCAUGCACUUGAAACAAGGAUUUGGUGCAAGCAAGCCAACCCUUGGUGCAUACACUUAAAGCAAGGAUUUGAUGCAAGGCUUAGUGCAGCCAUGUAAUAGCUCAAUGCCAGCUCUUGCCAGCCAGAAGCUGAUGCAGGCAUGUAAACAAGGCAGCCACCCAGCCUUCAGUGGGUGCACUUGAUGUCAGCUAGCCCUUGGUGUGUGCAGACAAGCAACCAGUUGCUGCCAAGACUGGAUGCCAGACAGCCCUUGGUGCACGCCUGCCUGCCAGUGAGGACUUGGUGCACACCCUUGAUGCCUGCCCGCCUGCCAGCGAGGACUUGGGGCGUGCACUUGAUGCCUGCCUG